UGUUCUGUGGCGAAGUUGGUUAACGCGCCCUGUCUAGCGAACUUGGGGAGACGUGGGUUCAAAUCCCACCAAAACUA
rnacentral:tRNA from 1 species